rnacentral:lncRNA from 1 species
AUAUACUUCUUCCCUAGGAAUGCAAUAAUAAUAGUGUGGAAAAGAUGUGCAGUAGUAACAUUUAGAUAGGUAUCAUGGGAAAAGUGAAGCUUAAAAUUUACCCAGUGAAGAAAAAAAGAGAAAAGGUUUUGGUUAAAUCUUAUCAGACUCACCACUAGUCCAUCAAUUCAGUCAGCUUGGGAGUGAUGUUACUUUUCAAGCUCUCAUGAAAAGACUUCCUGAUUUGUAAAGGAGGCAAAUUUAUUUAUGUAAAUUGUCUAUUUGGCAGUACUUCUGCUUCUUUUAGUGUUUAGUCCCACCUCUGAUAAGACAGGUCUAAUUUCAUUUCCAUUAAAAUGCAAUGAAAGCACAUUUAUGAAUUUAAUAAUUUCUUGCCUGAGUUUGAUAGGAGCAUUAAAGUUGUUAGCUAUGGACUGUUGUUAAUAAAUAUUGCUUUUUUAAUUUAAUUAAAGUAGACUAAGAGUUACUGGCCAAUAAUUUUUUUCUAUAGAUUAUGAAAAAAAAAAAAAGAAUUGGUAAAAGAAAUAGCAAUUUGCCCAAGGGUUUGUUUAAUUGGACAUUCCUGCUUAUCUCAUUGUCAAAUUAUUUUUAAACCUAAGCCUUUCUAUAUAAUUUAAAUGUUGCUUUACUUUGUUUUGCAUAGCUUAUUCAUCUUCCUAAAAGGAACGUGAAGAAAAUAUGAAUUUAGGCCUUGUAACACAGCUUGGAAAGAGAAAACUGACAUUAAGAAUUUUAUUUUAAUUUUUCUUUCAGAAGUCUUUCUUAAACACUUUUUUUGCUCAUAAUUUUUUACACUUUUAUAUGAACUGCCUAUGUAAAUAUCAAUUAAUAUGAACUGCCUAUGUAAAUAUCAAUUUAUAUGAACUGCCUAUGUAAAUAUCAAUGUUUCUGAUAACUUAGUAUGCCUCCAGGGUCCAUAGCCUUCCUGAUGAAGUAGUAUUUAGCUGAAGCUUUUUUGCAUAAUCUGCCUAGUAAACAACUAUUUGUUCUUCAACAAAAAAAAGGAAAAUAUAUGCGAAAAUUAGAAAAAAAAUAAAGAAAUACAAAAGGACUUAAAGAUUAUGAGAAUCACUGGUAACAGAACUGAUUUUGAUUUCCUGUUCCUGCCUAAAUUAAGUUUCUGACUCAUCGUUGUUCUGCAAAAAAUGAAUUUACCUUUUUUUAUCACUUAAAAUCACGAUUAAAUUGAUAGAUCAGAUGAGAUAAACAAGUUUUGUGGUAUAAAGAGGUGUAUCUUUUGGGGCAAAAUACUGAGAAAAUUUAUAUACAAACCAGAAACAGUGGGUUGCAUGAAUUUAAAGUGCUAAAACAAUAUGUCUGCAACUUAGAGUUUCUUAGGCAUAAUUACUUAAAAUAUAUAAAUCCUGAAUUUACAGUUUCUUAAUUUCCUUGACAGAAUACUGCCACACCUCUUAGUCAAGUCUAGCACAUACCAUAUUUAAUGGUCAACAAUGAAGUGUGGAUUGCAUGUAACAAACCUGUACAUGUACCCCUUGAAUCCAAAUUAGAAUAAAAUCGAGUUAAAAAAAUACAAUUAAAAAUAAUACAACUAUUUACAUGACAUUUACAUCUAAUAGGUAUUAUAAGUAAUUCUAGAGAUGUUUUAAAGUAAAGUAGUGUGUACAGGAGGAUGUGGCUCAGUUAUGUGAAAUUAAAUAAUUCAGAUUUAAAGUUGUUGGAAUUUAAAUUAUUCUGAACCUUCAGAGGAAUGUGGCAAUGUAGCCUGAGUCACUUGGCAUGCAGCUGCAACUUCUGUAAAUAAUUAGGAAGACCAAGUGGCCCAAUCAAAUCAUUGUAACUGGUCUUGUAUGGAAAAUAUAAUCCUGCUAAACAUUUCUGUCUGUGUAUAACUGAUAAAUACCUUAACCUCUCUAACUUGUAACACUGACCUCAUUCAUUUGGAGUCUGUGUUUCCUGGGUGUCUGUCCUCAAGCUUUGCAACUCAAAUAAAUAAGCUAUAUGCAUAAAAUAAAAAAAAAUAAAGGAAUAUGGAUGCGAAUGUAAAAUAUCAUCUGGUAUCAAACAAUUCUGAAUGCCUAAAUAUGACUGGAACUUCUUCCAGUUUAAUUGAAAUAUUUUGGAUCUAUUAAUAAAUGUGUAAACUUGCUUCCCUUUUUUAUUAUUUGAUAUAUUCAACUUUAAGCUAAAGGGAUAUUCUAACCUAUUUCUAAAUACAAUCUAAAUUUACCAUGCUUUUCAAAAUUCCUAUCAGUGUUACGUGCAGAUCUUGGCAAUAUUUCGCAUGUGGGAUAGAAAUCUAUUUUUUAAUCAAAAUAUAUUUUUACUGUGAUUACAGUCAUGAUAUAAAAUGAAAUAAAUUCAAUAGCUAAUAGAAAAUAUUUGAAACAUACAUGUGUAUGUAUGUUAAAAUUCAUACCAAAUUAAGAAAGAAGAAAACAUUAUUAAUUUGAUAAAUGUAUCAAAACCAUAAACCUAGAAAAAAAAUUAUACUUAAUCGUAAAUAUUAAUAAUUUAUCUAAAAUCGGAAAUAACACAGUGUUAUUUUACUAGAAGAUCUAACCAUUGCAUUAAGAUAAGAAAGGAAGAGAUAUAAAUAUUGAAAAGAUUGAUACAAAACUGAGAAUGAGAAGACUUUGAGGCAACAUGGCUGAAUAGGAACAGCUCCGGUCUA